rnacentral:rRNA from 1 species
AUUGAACGCUGGCGGCAGGCCUAACACAUGCAAGUCGAGCGAGAGGCGGGCGGGUGAGUGAUAUCUGGGAAGCUGCCUGAUAGGGGGGGAGAAAUACUGGAAACGGUAGCUAAUACCGCAUACGCUCAGAUGUGCCCAGAUGGUGUUAGAGAGUGGGUGGGGUAACGGCUCACCUAGGCGCCGCGCCCUAGCUGGUCUGAGAGGAUGACCAGCCACACUGGAACUGAGACACGGCCCAGACUCCUACGGGAGGCAGCAGUGGGGAAUAUUGCACAAUGGGCGCAAGCCUGAUGCAGCCAUGCCGCGUGUGUGAAGAAGGCCUUCGGGUUGUAAAGCACUUUCAGCGGGGAGGCGUUACCCGCAGAAGAAGCACCGGCUAACUCCGUGCCAGCAGCCGCGGUAAUAC